rnacentral:rRNA from 1 species
AGUGAACGCUGGCGGUAGGCCUAACACAUGCAAGUCGAACGGCAGCACAGUAAGAGCUUGCUCUUACGGGUGGCGAGUGGCGGACGGGUGAGGAAUACAUCGGAAUCUACUUUUUCGUGGGGGAUAACGUAGGGAAACUUACGCUAAUACCGCAUACGACCUACGGGUGAAAGCAGGGGAUCUUCGGACCUUGCGCGAUUGAAUGAGCCGAUGUCGGAUUAGCUAGUUGGCGGGGUAAAGGCCCACCAAGGCGACGAUCCGUAGCUGGUCUGAGAGAAUGAUCAGCCACACUGGAACUGAGGCACGGUCCAGACUCCUACGGGAGGCAGCAGUGGGGAAUAUUGGACAAUGGGCGCAAGCCUGAUCCAGCCAUACCGCGUGGGUGAAGAAGGCCUUCGGGUUGUAAAGCCCUUUUGUUGGGAAAGAAAAGCAGCAGGUUAAUACCCCGCUGUUCUGACGGUACCCAAAGAAUAAGCACCGGCUAACUUCGUG